AAUGAACGCUGGCGGCAGGCCUAACACAUGCAAGUCGAACGGAGCAGCAAUGCUCAGUGGCGGACGGGUGAGUAACGCGUGGGAACAUACCCUUUGGUACGGAAUAGCCUCGGGAAACUGGGAGUAAUACCGUAUGUGCUCGCAAGAGGAAAGAUUUAUCGCCAAAGGAUUGGCCCGCGUUGGAUUAGGUAGUUGGUGGGGUAAUGGCCUACCAAGCCGACGAUCCAUAGCGGUUUGAGAGGAUGAUCAGCCACACUGGGACUGAGACACGGCCCAGACUCCUACGGGAGGCAGCAGUGGGAAUCUUAGACAAUGGGGGAAACCCUGAUCUAGCCAUGCCGCGUGAUCGAUGAAGGCCUUAGGGUU
rnacentral:rRNA from 1 species